UAUGGGGACCUGCGGAGGUCAUUAAAGAAAUUUAAUUGAUUUGUCUGAGCUCGGAGAGAGACAUCUCUGGGGAGGACCAGUGUAGACACUCAGGAGGCUCCUAAAAUAUUUUCUCUGCUGUGAAUGCUAUUCAUCCUGCCUGCGCUUAAGUGCGCGGUUGGUGGGUGUUCUGCAGUGGGGGGAGGGAGCCGACAAAGACCUGGGAGUGUGCGUGGAUCUCUCUAUUCCAAAGGAGGUGUUUUAUCACACGACUCGACACUUUCUAAUUACUACACACAGUGGAGUUUACUUUACUACUAUUCUUUUGUUCGUUGGGGGAACGCUCUCUUUCGGGGGGGAAGUUCCCCCAGGGAAGGCAAACCCAAACAAAUAUUUUUUUAAAAAAAUUCAUCCAACACAAAAUUUCUUUUAUAAAAAAACAACUUCAAAACUUUCAACAAGGGAUCUCUGGGUUCCCGCACCAAUAAAAAACCCACCGAAUGGCAAUACGUAAGGGGAAUUGCAAAAUUCCGGGAACCACCAAACCUUUAACGGCACUUGGCCCCUCCGGGAAUUCCGGGGGGCAGGCUGGUUUAACGGCCUUUUCUUUCCCAAAAACUUUGGGUUGGGAAGGGAGGGAUACUCUGGUUUUGAGUAAACUUGAAUUGUAGGCAAUUCAUAUUGGGACCGACGCAGCUUCCCUAUAACUGCUGCUCGUUGGCCGACGCGGGGGUUAAUACUGUAUUAGGUUUACCAACUCGUGUUGAUCUAGGAGGAUAAGUGAUGUUUGUGCUGCUGGGCGACGACUCUUAGUUGACCUCAAUCAGGUAGGUACCGCUGACUAAGCAUCAUAAAGGGGAAGAGAA
rnacentral:rRNA from 1 species